rnacentral:rRNA from 1 species
GACGAACGCUGGCGGCGUGCUUAACACAUGCAAGUCGAACGGAAAGGCCCUGCUUUUGUGGGGUGCUCGAGUGGCGAACGGGUGAGUAACACGUGAGUAACCUUCCCUUGACUUUGGGAUAACUUCAGGAAACUGGGGCUAAUACCGGAUAGGAGCUCCUGCUGCAUGGUGGGGGUUGGAAAGUUUCGGCGGUUGGGGAUGGACUCGCGGCUUAUCAGCUUGUUGGUGGGGUAGUGGCUUACCAAGGCUUUGACGGGUAGCCGGCCUGAGAGGGUGACCGGCCACAUUGGGACUGAGAUACGGCGCAGACUCCUACGGGAGGCAGCAGUGGGGAAUAUUGCACAAUGGGCGGAAGUCUGAUGCAGCAACGCCGCGUGCGGGAUGACGGCCUUCGGGUUGUAAACCGCUUUCGCCUGUGACGAAGCGUGAGUGACGGUAAUGGGUAAAGAAGCACCGGCUAACUACGUG